AAAACGCGUAAUUUUUGCUUAAAUGGGGGAUUUCUGAUGAGAAACCGUGUGAUUUUUGCUUAAAUGGGGGAUUUCCGAAGAGAAAACGCGUGAUAUUUGCUUAAAUGUGGGAUUCUCGGAGAUAAAUCACGUGAUAUCCGAUUAAAAGGGGGAUUUCCGAAAAGAAAACGCGUGAUUUUUGCUUUAAAGGGGGUUUCUGAUGAGAAAAAGCGUCAUAUUUGCUUAAAUGGGGGGUUUCUGAAGAGGAAACACAACAUUUUCGCUAAAAUUGGGGUUUUCCGAAGAGAAAACGCGUGAUUUUUGCUUAAAUGGGGGAUUUCUGAUGAGAAACCGUGUGAUUUUUGCUUAAAUGGGGGAUUUCUGAAGAGGAAACAUGACAUUUUUGCUAAAAUGGGGGAUUUCCGAAGAGAAAAUUCAUGAUUUUCGCUUAAAUGGCAGAUUUCUGAAGAGAAAACGCAUGAUUUUCACUUAAAUGGGGGAUUUCCAAAGAGAAAACACAGGAUUAUCGCUUAAAUGGGGGAUUUCUGAAGAUAAAAUGCAUGAUUUUCACUUAAAUGGGGGAUUCUCGAAGAGAAAACGCGUAAUUUUUGCUUAAAUGGGGGAUUUCUGAUGAGAAACCGUGUGAUUUUUGCUUAAAUGGGGGAUUUCUGAAGAGGAAACAUGACGUUUUUGCUUAAAUGGAGGAUUUCCAAAGAGAAAAUUCAUGAUUCUUGCUUAAAUGGGGGAUUUCCAAAGAGAAAACGCAUGAUAUUUGCUUAAAUGGGGGAUUUCCAAAGAGAAAACUCAUGAUAUUUGCUUAAAUGUGGGAUUCUUGGAGAUAAAGAGCGUGAUAUCCGAUUAAAAGGGGGAUUUCCGAAAAGAAAACACAUGAUUUUCACUUAAAUGGGGGAUUUCUGAUGAGAAAACGCGUGAUUUUUGCUUAAAUGGGGGAUUUCUGAAGAGAAAACGCGUGAUUUUCACUUAAAUGGGGGAUUUCCGAAGAGAAAACACAGGAUUAUCGCUUAAAUGGGAGAUUUUCAAAGAUAAAAUGCAUGAUUUUCACUUAAAUGGGGGAUUCUCGAAGAGAAAACGCGUAAUUUUUGCUUAAAUGGGGGAUUUCUGAUGAGAAACCGUGUGAUUUUUGCUUAAAUGGGGGUUUCUGAAG
rnacentral:lncRNA from 1 species